GACGAACGCUGGCGGCGUGCUUAACACAUGCAAGUCGAACGGUGACGGACGAGCUUGCUCCUCCUGAUCAGUGGCGAACGGGUGAGUAACACGUGAGCAAUCUGCCCCUGACUCUGGGAUAACUUCGGGAAACUGUAGCUAAUACCGGAUACGACCCCCGAAGGCAUCUUCUGCGCGUGGAAAGAAUUUCGAUCGGGGAUGAACUCGCGGCCUAUCAGCUUGUUGGUGGGGUAAUGGCUCACCAAGGCGUCGACGGGUAGCCGGCCUGAGAGGGUGACCGGCCACACUGGGACUGAGACACGGCCCAGACUCCUACGGGAGGCAGCAGUGGGGAAUAUUGCACAAUGGGCGGAAGCCUGAUGCAGCAACGCCGCGUGAGGGAUGACGGCCUUCGGGUUGUAAACCGCUUUUGGCAGGGAAGAAGCGAGAGUGACGGUAACUGGAGAAAAAGCACCGGCUAACUACGUG
rnacentral:rRNA from 1 species